rnacentral:rRNA from 1 species
AUUGAACGCUGGCGGCAGGCCUAACACAUGCAAGUCGAGCGAGCGGCGGACGGGUGAGUAAUGUAUGGGGACUGCCCGAUAGAGGGGGAUAACUACUGGAAACGGUAGCUAAUACCGCAUACUAUCGGAUAACCCAUAUGGGAUUAGCUAGUAGGUGAGGUACUGGCUCACCUAGGCGACGAUCCCGAGCUGGACUGAGAGGAUAAUCAGCCAGACUGGGACUGAGACACGGCCCAGACUCCUACGGAGGGAGCAGUUGGGAAUAUGGCACAAUGGGCUAAAGCCUGAGGCAGCCAUGCCGCGUGUAUGAAGAAGGCCUUAGGGUUGUAAAGUACUUUCAGUCGGGAAGCGUUACCGACAGAAGAAGCACCGGCUAACUCCGUGCCAGCAGCCGCGGUAAUUC